rnacentral:lncRNA from 1 species
GAAAGAAAUGUUGAGGGUUGCAGAGGCUGAAAACCAAAGAAAAAAGGAAGAAACAGAGAACAAAGACGUUUUGGGUGCUAACUUUCCAAUGCAGUUUUAUUAUUCUGAUUGUCUCAUUAACCUUACAAUGAAGAAACAGAAGGAAUAUAUAUACACGUAUCAAGGCUGAUGAGUCAGCCUUUCCCAUGCAAAAGGAAAUUAUUCCCACACCAGCAGCAUGGUUAACUAAGUUGUUAUAAAGGAAAAGAAUGCAUAACUGACUGUAGCUGAAAAACAGGGAAAACUAAUCAUCCUUUUUCUUUUAACAACUUUGCAUCCUCGUCCUUAUUCUUUAACAUCCCCCCGCAAGAUGGAGCAUAGUAGUUGACAAUGCCCAUCUUGGACAUAUGAAAAGAUAAUAGAUAGGCAGGUAAUGCUUUUGUGAAAACAUCUGCUAGUUGACACUUUGUAGAAACAUAUGCAGUCGAUAAGACACCUGCUUGGAUUUUGUCACGAAUAAGGUGACAAUCUAACUCAAUAUGCUUGGUUCUUUCGUGGAAAACAGGAUUCGAAGCAAUGUGUAAUGCAGCUUUGUUGUCACAGUAUAACACAGCGGGAUGAGGAUGAUUUAUGCGAAGAUCUGUUAGAAGAAAACUCAACCAAGUAAUUUCUGAGCUAGUGAUGGCCAUGGCACGAUACUCAGCUUCUGCUGAUGAACGGGAGACCACUGAUUGCUUCUUUGAUUUCCAAGAGAUUAAGGAUGAACCAAGGAAUAUGCAGAAACCAGAAACAGAACGUCUGGUGUCAGGAUAGGAUGCCCAGUCUGAAUCACAAUAUGCCGUGAUGUCCAGGUUAUGCUCAGAAGAAAAGAAAAGACCCUGCCCUGGAGCUCCUUUGAUGUAUUUCAGGAUCUUGAAAGCUGCAGCUAAGUGAAAAUCAGUGGGAUGAUCCAUGAAUUGACUGAGAGUUUGGACACUAUAAGAAAUGUCUGGCCUUGUUAUGGUCAAGUAUAAAAGUUUUCCAACAAGCUGCCUGUAGUAAGUAGAAUCAGAUAGAGGGGUGCCCUCCUCUUUACUGAGCUUUAAGUUUUGAUCCAUAGGGAGCUUAGAAGGUCGAGACCCGAGAACGCCAAAGGUAGCUAGAAUAUCUAAAGCAUAUUUCCUCUGACAAAUCUGUAUUCCUUGUGAUGUUCUGGCAAUUUCAAGUCCUAGAAAAUACCUCAAUUGUCCC